UACGUAGGUGGCAAGCGUUGUCCGGAUUUAUUGGGUUUAAAGGGUGCGUAGGCGGCCAUUUAAGUCAGUGCUGAAAUACUCUAGCUUAACUAGAGGGGUGGCAUUGAUACUGAUUGGCUUGAGUGAAGUCGAAGUAGGCGGAAUUGACGGUGUAGCGGUGAAAUGCUUAGAUAUCGUCAAGAACACCGAUAGUGAAGACAGCUUACUAGACUUCAACUGACGCUGAGGCACGAAAGUGUGGGGAUCAAACAGG
rnacentral:rRNA from 2 species